GACGACCAAAGAAAAACGACAGAGUUACCACUCAUGUUUUUUCCAUGUUGACCAAUAAAAAAAAAACAGUGGUACCCAGCUCGACGUUUUUGCAGGGAUCCGAACCUGAGCUUUUUGGAGCAUUAACCUCCGAACUUAUCAAUGCACCAUCAAGACACCGAAUAAAGACAACACAAUGGUUAUACUUGACUUUUAUUUCGCAUGAAAUAGAGAUAAGAGUCUUCCAACAGAAUACAUCAACCGGACUUGAACCCCGGUCUCCAGGGGGUUAGGCAGAGUGCACUCCACUGCACCACUGAGGCGAUGACAAUGCAAGUUAAUCAAUCAUCAAUAAAGAGGAUAUACAUGACAUUAAAAUGUAUGUGUGUAUUUCUAUUAUUUCCCUUAUGGUUUUUUUCAUGACGACCAAUAAAAAACAACAUGUUACCCCUUAUGUUUUUUUUUUCAUGACGACCAAUAAAAAACAACAGUGUUA